GAUGAACGCUGGCGGCGUGCUUAACACAUGCAAGUCGAACGGAAAAUAUUUCAUUGUGACUUCUGUGGGUUUGGUUUAUUUCUAGUGGCGAACGGGGUAGUAACGCGUUGAUAUCCUGCCUUAUACAGGGGAAUAACAGUCAGAAAUGGCAGGUAAUACCGCAUAAGGGCACAGAGCGGCAUGGCUCGGUGUGAAGAGAUCCGGUGGUAUAAGAUGGACCCGCGUUGGAUUAGCUAGUUGGCGGGGUAACGGCCCACCAAGGCGACGAUGCGGAGCCGGGCUGGGAGGGGGAACGGUCACAAUGGGACUGAGACACGGCCCAGAAUCCGACGGGAGGGAGCAGUGGGGAACAUUGCACAAUGGGGCAAAAUCUGAUGCAGCGACGUCGCGUGAAGGAAGAAGUAGCUCGGUAUGUAAAUUCCUAUCAGAAGGGAAGAGAGUGACGGUACCUGACUAAGAAGCCCCGGCUAACUACGUG
rnacentral:rRNA from 1 species